UGACAUUUCAUAUAAGAUACUUGAGCAGUCCUAUCCUUGGGGUUUCUAGACUCAAUCAUCCAUGGAUGCUGAGGGACCACUUCACACCUGAUUCCAAACUGAGGCUGUUACCUCCAUCUUGCUUAUGAUGGGCAUUAUGGUCCCUCUUUCCAGUCAGGGACCAAGAGGGCCAGUGAGCUUCACUGGUGUCUGUGUCAGCUAGCCACAUCUUACUGCAGAAGAACAACCGCAGGGGCCCGGUAGAGUUCCUUGUUAAUCAACCAGAGAUUCUACGUCUGUGUCAGACAGCUUCCGAUAACUGCAACAGAUGCCUGAGAUGGGCCCAUCUAAGAAGAGGAACUGGGAGACGGCUCCGCUGGUACAGCGCUUACUGUGCAAGAUGAGGACCUGAGUUCAGAUCCCCAUGGAAAGGUCGCAUGCAGGGGUGCAGUUCUAGCCCUGGGAAGAAGGAGAUCACGGAUCCAUGGUAUCUCCUGAUUAAUGCAGCGGCAUAAAGACACAGAAAGAAAAAGAUCUUUAAAGUUUGGCAAAGUUGAGCUCAAGUUUGGCCCUGCUUCCAGCCCCCUGGUUACUGCGCCCUAUGGAUCAGCUAUGAACUCUGCAUUGAAGGCAGGCCACCUGAGAAGCACCCAGCUCCCCCGUGAGCACCUCACGUGCUACCCAUCAGAGCCAAGGCAAGUGACCCAACUCCAGUGCAAGUUGUGUAUUGGGGGCCCUGAGACUUCAAUUAUCAGAUAACUCGGCAGUAGAGGGUACUAUUUCAGCACUUUGACCAGAGCAGCCUUCAUUUAAGAGAGCUCUAAGAAGUUUUUAAAGCCCCCUUUCAGUAAGCUUACCACUGGAGAGAGAUAUCCACUUCAUGGCUACGUAGCUUCAAAUUUCCUCUUAUUCCAGAGCUGAGAGGAAAUACUAGCUGGGCAGUUUCCCUUGUGAAGAAGGAGGUGCCCUGGAUUCUUUGGCUUGUAGAGACUAUAGUGGGUCCUCUGAGACGCGCCAUGAGAGACCGCCUGGCACCAGGCAUAAGAAUGGGAGCUGGGUUGUGUUGUAUAGACUGACCCAUUCUGCUGUGGACUCACUGGAUGGGUGGAGAAAGAGAAUCUCACAUUCUUCAAGUACGCUCUUGGUCGAGUUUUCCAAGCCAAGCUUUCUUAUCACACGUCCUUCUAAACAAGGAUUGUCCUAGGAUUUCCCAAGCAUCAUCGUGAGCUUCACUUUUCUCACAGGUUGUAAAAUAACUCAGGAGUAAAAAGCUUGCUUUAUAGUGUGUGUGUGUGUGUGUGUGUGUGUGGUGUGUUUAUGCAUGUAUUGAUUGGUGAUUGAGUCAGAAAUCCAUUCCUCAUCAUCACACAUGUGAGUCUUAUUCCUCAGGGUCCUCAGGUUCCUUUCCAGAGGUGUGUGUCCCCUCUGUUCACUGAUAACCACACUGGGUAAGCCUUAUCUGUAUGUACCUACCUGCAGUAAGAACACACUGACCCUAAAACAGUAGAAAGAGAAGAGAAGAGAGAGAAAGAGAGAGAGCGAGCAUUGUUGGAUACUACUGACAUUGGGUAGGUUUUAGGUUUUGUUUGUUUUGUCUCCUUUUUGAAUUUUCCCUUUUUUCUUUGUUGAAUAUGUUUACUACUUAACUGAUUUUUUUUCUUUAAGAACUUAGCAUACGGAUUAACUGGUGCACCAGUGGAAGGUUCACAGAACCAAAUAAAGAGUCAGAGUCCAAUGAGUGGUGUGGUGCGUGUGUCUCUCCGACGGUGACUGCUGUGCUCUGGACUCGUUGUUGUCUAGGCAGAAACAUGUGCUCAGAGGACAUCCAAGGACCAUGCCUAACAACAGCACACGUUCUUGUUGACUCCCGGGUUUAUUAGGAGGUGGCAUGCCCCCUGCUAUUAUGCCUUUUACAGCCCGGUCUUUUGAUACUUCUAUGAUUUGGGAACUGUGUGCGUUCUAUUUAUUCAGUGAGAACGCACUCUGUGUCAUGUUACUUCCCCUUGCUCUGCAGUUUGUACACAGAUGGAUCCCAUAUCUGAUAAUAGCAGCUUAAUGUUGGCCUGAAAGGACUUUUAUGAAAAAUAGUAAUGACUUCAGUUUGUUUGGCUGGAUUUUGUGAGACCAGUUUUUCUACAUAGCCCAGACUUAGAACUCUCUGACCUUCUAGUUGUUCGUUUUGGAUGCUGGGCGGCGGGGGUGAUUCUUUAGGUGCCAUUUCCCUCACUUGGGUUUUUGGUUUGUUUGUUUUGUUUUGAGCAGAGCCCCUCACUGGCCUGAAACCCACCACGUAGGCUCGUCUGGCUGGCCGGUGAGCCCCAGAGAUGUAUCUGCUUCCCUCUCCCCAUCACUGGGGUUAUACACAUGCACUAACUACCACACAUAGGAUUUUUCAAUUCUUAGGAUCAAACUCAGGACCUUGUGUUUGAGAGAGUGAGCCCUUUGCUGACCAAGCUAGCUCCCUGGCCCACAGCUGCUAUUACUAGCAUAGCUGUCUGUAUAUAACCAUCAUCACCAUGCUACCAACUAACUUUCAGGAAAACUGACUUCCAACCAAAUAUAAGAAUUACCUAUGAAAUAGGCCACAUCAUGUUAAGCUGUUAGCCAAAGGGUCCCAUAGAGCCUCCGAAACACCACAGGCUAUUGCCAAGUCUAUUAGUUACUUCCACAAUCUGAUGGUUGGGCCCUAUUGCUGAAUAUACAACUUACUCUUGUUACUGGAUAUGGAGAAAUCAAGCAGGCAGGAGCUUCACCCCUACUCACUAGCAUUCACAGUGCUGAAAGGUACGCUGCGUGCUACCAGAGAGAAAGUAAUCAACAGUUUAACCCAGCUACCAGUACUGCAACCCACAACUGCAAGACGUACUGGUGCAAUUGUGGUAAAAAAGUAAACAGCCACUUUUUUUUAUCAGAUUUAUGGCCCACUCCAUGAAGUGAAGCCCACACAUGAUAAAUGCUAACGUGGCCAAGAACCUGAGCCUAGGUCGGUUAUAGAUGCUAGGACAAAACCUACUACUAUUUUUCUGCUAGGUGAACAUAGCCAUAAAACGACGCCUAAUGGCGCAGUGUUUUAUUCACAGAUCUGAGCAUCGCCCUCCUCUCACCAGAGAAGCUGCGUCUUGCAGUAGGUGGUGGUUAAUACAGAGACUCACAACCGGACUGUGUGUAGACAGAGAGAAACCGGGGAACACUCAGCUCAAAAUGGGAUGUUUUAUGAAAAGCCCUCCGAAAAGACAGUAAGAACCAGAGGGGAUGGAUGGUUCCAAGAAAGCAGAAGCUUCCAGACACAACAGGACGGAGGCAUAUACAUGCUCAUGGAGACUGUGGCAGCACAGACCAAUGCAGGUUCAAACCAGACAAAAUGUCAGCAUUAGAUAGGGAAGUGGACACAAAGUCUACAUUCUAGGGCAGGCCACAUGUUCAGGAGUAGUUGCCCAACCCAAAAGGGAGUCUGUGUUUCGUUGUGUGUGCUUUUUGUUUUGUUUUGAUUUUUUGUCUUACUGGUGUUUUCUAGUUUAUUUAUCUGUUUUAACUUCCAAUUUUAAGUUUUUCCC